GACUCAAGUUGGCUGUCCACGACCAGACGACCAUUAAAAAGGAAGGGUAAGGAGAGAGUGCAGAGUAUAGAUCACCAUGGUGUUGCGAGCUUACGCUGUGACGAUAGCUGUAUUUCUUCUUGUUGUAGCCUGUGUGGUGAUUGUAUAUGGUUCUUUAGGUUAUGCCAGCAGACUUCAUUUUACAAACGUUUCUACGCAUUCGGGGCCACAAAAUCUCCAGCCAGUUACUCUGCAAGGAGAGAUUGGUGGUGGUGACUGGCUGGGUGAGGAACCAACUUCGAGGAAGGUCCCAGUAGCAGAGUGAUAGUCAGUUCCUCUGCUGGUGUUGGAGCCGCUGCCUUAUUCACAUAGAAUGGUUGCUGCUGCUGCUGCUGCUGCUGCUGCUGCUGCGGAUGCUGCUGCGGAUGCUGUUGCCGAGGCUAAUGCUGCUGAUUAUCCUGCUGAGAUGUUAUUGCUGCGGUUAAGGCUGCUUCUGCUGAGGCUGUGGAUGCUGCUGCUGAUGCUGCAAAGUGGGCCUCUAGUGUAUAAGACAGAUUUUGGAAGAUGCUAACUGAACGGUGAUGUUUCGAACCCUGGAAUGUGUUGCGGUUCCAGGCAGUAUACUAGUCUUCUACCUAGACGUCAUAAAGGCUACAGUCGAGGCAUAUCCAUAGUGGUGUCGAGCAGCUCCGGUGAACCACAAGCUUUGGCCUCCUGUAUUUUAAGGAUCAAUUUUUUUCUUUACGCAAUUAAGUCUGUUAAAACUAUGCUACAACUUAAGGUACUUUUAAUUUUAUAUAUGCACCAGUAAAUAGUUUUUUGUAAAAAAACUUAUCUAUUAAACUAGAAAUGUCUUCUUAAAAACCUGUACAAAUUUUAAUGCUACGAGACAGGCAGUUCCAUUUAAGACAACUCGAGGUAAUUUUCAAGUCAACGUGUUUACUUCAUAAUUUAAAAGGUGUUCAAGACCUAGAGUGAACCUUACCAACGAGAAUUUGGAGGGUUCAGUGUGUAGAUAAAUGGUUCAGAGAACAGACAAGUUGAUAAAUUAGACACGUGCAACACUCGGGUAUCUUUAAUGAGGAAACGUUUCGUCACACAGUGACUUCAAAGAAGAAUGGUGAAGAACAGGAGUAGUUUGAGGUGAUCAGUUCCUCGGCCUUGAGUUGAUGUGGUCAGCCCAUCAAUCUUGAAAAAGAAUACAGCAAUAUCUGCUGAGAAGUAUUCUUUUCAAGAUUGAUGGACUGACUACAUCAACUCAAGGGUGAGGAACUGAUCACCUCAUUCCUCCUGUUCUUCACCAUUCUUCUUUGUAUUGACUGAUGGUCACUGUGUGGCGAAACGUUUCCUCAUUAAAGAUAUCCAAGUGUUGCACAUGUCUAAUUUAUCAGGGUUCAGUGUACGCUCUCCUGACACCUCCCCCUCCCUCCCACCCAACCGCUAAAACCUUGUACGUUAAUUUACAGACUGACACACUCUUGUCCCUGCCAUAACCUGCUUGCUGGUGUACCUUGUGGCUAGCAACCGAUUGUGGAAGUUAACUUUUCCCCACUAUUUACGCCUCUUCAUAGUCAUGGCUCUUAUAAUUUUUGGAAUACCUGUAAUCUCAAACUUCACAUUGUCUGAUAUGAGUUUAGAUAAUGCUGGUUAUUUUAUCUUCUCUUUUUUAGUAGUUUUUGGGUUUUCCCGCAUUUAUUUCUUUAGUCUAGACCGGGGGUGGGUGGGGGCUCCCAAUCUCUUGUAUGCCCCGUUUCCCUGGGAACUAAAUACAGUACUGCGGGUGAGUAAAGCUUACUCAAAAUAAGCUUUUUAAUUCUGUGCAUAAAAUGUAACUGUAAAAUGAGCAAUUAGAAAAGUUUUUGGUACAAUAAACUGAAUUUUUUUUU